AAACUUUUUAGUCUUUCUUAAUGUUUGUUUCUGAAUUCCUUUUUGUCUCAGGUCGGAAUAAGCUUACAGAAUCUGAAAUCCCUCGAUAGGAAAACAAUGUUUGAUAAAUUACACUAUAAAGCAUAGACGGACAGAGCCUAUUAAUAAAAUAACUGUCAUCUAUUUAAUGUAUGUUUCAGUAAUGAUGUUUAUUUCAGGUUAAGAGCCCGUACAGUAAGGAUAUAUCUCAGAAAUGUAAAGGUUGUGUUGUUUUGUGAGUUAUAUUCUAAUAAAUAGUUUGCUAAAAGUAACAAUAACACGCAACAGUGCUUUUUAUAAAUAUGCAACACACGGAAUAUAUUAAAUGCAUUGGAUAUACGUCUUGCAGUGUUUGAUUACUUAUGUUGGUGAAUUUGUGCACUUAGAUAUGUUAUGUGACCGGUAACUAAAUACCUGUGUCGUAUCAUUAGAUUAUUUUUCCUUGAAUACACCGCGUAGUGUUUGUUCUGAGACGUUUUACGCUGAUUUCAAUCAACAUAUCAUGGUGCCGGAUUAGUUAACGAACUAUUUUGUUAUAUCAUUUGAAAUAACACUAGGAACGAACCGGUGUGUACUUCCAGGCAUUGUGUUCUAUCAUGGAUUAACAUAUAGCCAGAGAAAAAACUUUCCUUAAAAGCCCGUCCGAAGAACUCAGACUGGAUUUCUCGUGAGCUUUUUUUUUGCAAGAAAGCUGAUAUUAUUUGAAAAUCGUAUGGACACAAGCGUGUUCGAGACAGCAUGGCAUCCAAUGAUUUAUGGGCAGUGUUGUCUCUAUUUGGCGUGCCAGACACUUUUCCAAGGAUCAAGAACUUUACAUCGAUGAUUUCCUACGAUAAUUUCAUUCUGAAUAUGUUCUAUUUGUUUAAUUGACAACAUCGCCAGAUAUAUCUUAUUGACAUUAGUUUGAUAAGGCUUGUUUUUGUGUUCCACGUCAGUCUAUUGACCAUGUGCUAUAUACAGAUGGUUUAUUAGAUUUAUCAGUAUUUUUUCAUUAUACAGUUUCUGAAAAAAUUUCAUGCACUUUUACAAUAAACUUUAUUUAAAUGUUGACUGCACAAUAUUUAUGAGAAGGAAGAGAGGAUAGUGUCAUAUUUCUAUUUUGGAGUAGUGCCAUAAAGUAAGUCACCAGUGAAUAAAAAAUCAUUUGCAAUGAUACGUUCUUAGUGUUUCAAUUAUUACAUAUGUAUAGGAGACAGUUACAAUGUCUUAAGCCCCCUAUCUGCAACCUUAAACCACAAAUCUGCCAAAAUAUGAGAUUACAUAAAUUAGUUUACAUUAAAGAAAAAUAAUGGGAAUUAAACAGUUUACUUCUGUACAUCCUAUAAUAAAGCAAAUAAAUUUUUGAACAUCUUUUGCAUGUUAAGAACUCAUUUUAUGAAUUUGACAUUGAUUUCAUUUAACGGGUGACAUUUGCACCGUCUUUGCCAACAUUUAUACAAAAUGCAUGUGUAACUUAUUGCUAUGUAAUUAAAUUGUUCAAUAUUUCAUAAAAUGAUAUAAAAUAAAAUGCGUUAAAGAUA
rnacentral:lncRNA from 1 species